GCUGGGUGUGGUGGCGUGCACCUGUAAUCCCAGCUACUUGGGAGGCUGAGGCAGGAGAAUUGCUUGGACCUGGGAGGCGGAGGUUGCAGUGAACCAAGAUUAUGCCACUGCACUCCAGCCUGGGUGACAAAGCAAGACUCUGUCUCAA
rnacentral:sRNA from 1 species